CGGCCCUGAUGCUUAUGAUAUCAGUCAAGUGACGACAAUAAUCUAAAAUUCUCAAACGACUGGGAACUUUGGGUUUAUAUUUAUCUAUUAUGGGUGUGAACGGUGUGUGGUAAAAAAAAAAUAUUCCGCGAUCCGCCAUCGUGCGACAGCGCGGCAGAUGCACUCGGGAACUGCACCGAUCAACAUCAUCGUCUUGACCACGCGCAGAACAUUUUUCGUCGCCGUCGAGAUGGUUACAACUCGGCAUUAUAGGAAUCUACCUCCUAUGUCAUACAUGAGAGGUGGAUUCACUCCUCACACAGAUGGUUUAUGGCGUGUUCGCGAGUACGAGUAAAUUAUUUUCAUCAAAUUCGGAGCACUUCAUCCGAAAACGCAGCCUUGUAAGACACGUAUCGAACGAAACGAAAUAUGAGUUUGUGACCAACGCACGCGUUUACCUACCAGUUACGAAUAAUAUUUUUUUUCAUCCGUUGUCAAGAAUAGUUUUUUUGGCUAUCAAUAUCUGGCAACAAAAAAUACGUAACAAUGAGAAAAGAAAAUAUCAAUUGUCGGUUGAAGGUAAAUUAACCAUUUAACUUUAAGUGUACGAGUACAACAUCGAGCUCAAAAAAAGUAUGAUUAAAUGCUUAAAUCGAACAAUAAUACGAUAAUUAUAUACGUUAUAUAAUUAUAUCUAUUAUUCUCAAUAAUGUGCCCCUAAAUAAAUCUGUUUCAAGAAUAAAAAAAAAAUACUGUUAGUACCUAUUAUUGUAAAAACGAUUUAGCAUUUAAGUAAAUUUAUUUAUAUUUGCAUUGCAAUACAUAAUAAAUAAUAAUAUAUGUGUAAAUAUAAUAUAUAAAGGCGUGUGCACGAAACAUAGGAAUUGUGAAGCUAUCUAAAACUGCUUGAAUAGAUAUUGUUUAUUAUAAGACACAGAUUAAUAAAUUUAGGGACAUCACAAUUUAAUGUAAUCUCUAUCCAAAAAAAUAAUAACAAUAAAAGGAAAAAUUAAAUUAAAUAACAAAAUCCUUUUUUAAUUCACCGUGAAAAAUAAUAAUUUAAAAAUAAAUGCCAGAGCCAGAUAAAAACGGCGACCCACUAUAUAAUGACCCCUAUGUUAUGUAUACACUUGCGAUUUAGUUUUAUAUAUUUUUCUCACGGUAGAUCUGAUAAACUUUUUAUUAUUCAUGUUAAUUUCUCUCAAUUAUCAAAGUUAUAAAAUAAAUUAUUAUUUAAUCAAAAAUAUCAGUAUUAAAUUGAUAUUCAAUCGAAGCGCACACAGGUUGCAAGUGUUUGGCUAUGUAAACCCCCUAAAAAUACCAGGCCCGUAGCCAGACCAAAUUUUCAAGUGGGGCAAAGUAAACUUUUUUGGGGGGGCAUUAUAUAUAAAAACAAUGUCUUUCUUAUAUUUUUAAUAUUUUUAGGGGGGCAACGCCUCCUCUCGCCCCCCCCCCCCCGUGGCUAAGGGCCUGAAAAUACAUAUAUUUAUCGUAAUCUACCUAUGAAAAAAUUCAGCACACGCCUGCUAUGUGUAUAAAAAUUAUUGUAAAAUGUAUAACUAUAGUAAUAGGUGAAAAAAAAAGGUAAAAAUAUAUAAGAAUAUUUAAUGAGUUACGUUUAUUCGAAAUUAAAAUAUUAUUACUGUUAUUAGGGUUCCGUACUGUAAAACGGGACCCUAUUACUUUGGCUCCGCUGUCCGUCCGUCCGUCUGUCUGUCACCAGCCUGUAUUUCAUAAUUUUCACAGAUGAUGUAUUUGUGUUGCCGCCAUAACAAUACGAUGGAAAUUUGUAGUUGUUUCGUUCUCAUGGUACGGAUCCCUUCGUGCGCGAGUCCGACUCGCACUUGCCCGGUUUAUUAUUAUUAUUUUCAUUACUUAUUAAAUUAUAGUUAUCUUAACUGCACAUAAAAAAAAAAUUUAUAAGUAUCUAAAAUAUGUAUGAUAUGCAUUAUUUUAUGUAUUAAAAUAUUUUUUUAUUCGAUUCGCGGUAUAAGUAAUUUGUUAGGAAAGGCAAAUUGAUUUCUGUGUUGAAAUAAUAAUAAUUAUAACAAUUAUAAACAUUAUGACUAGUCGACAGUGGCGUAGCUAGACACUUUUUCUUGAGUAGGCCCGAUAUUUUGAUGUAACUAGGUAAGGAUUAUCAAUGAAUAUUUUUAUUAAAUAAAAAUUGACAGAAUAUCGUAUAUACUAUUAUACAUUUAUUAUACGCACAUCACAUACAUUUAUUUUAAAUUUUAAAACUAAUAUAGUCGUAUAGACUACACAUGCAAUACGAUAUAAAAUAUUUAUUUUUAGAAAAAGUGGGUAGGCCUGGGCCUACCAAGUCUACCCGCUAGCUACACCACUGCUAAUCGAUCUAAAACAAUAUAUUGUAUUUUAUAUUUUUAAUUGUAUAUUUUUGAUAAUUUAGAUUUAUGAAGUACCUAAUUGCAUAUUAAUUUCAGUUUUUAGAACAAUAAAUUUCGAGUAUUAGUUAUACGUAUAAUACAAUUUCAUCGUGUUUUUUAUUUGUAUUAAAAUCAUUGCAUUACCAAUCAAUAGUAAAUAGUAAUACAUACACAAAUAUACAUCUAAAUCAGAGUUUCCCAAAGUGGGUGAUAAAGCUAUCCAGGGGGGCGAUGAAAGUUACAAGCUUAAUUAAUUUUUUAAUGUGUACCUACUUAUAUAUACCAAUACAUUUUUCUUUAUAAGCUCUAGUAAUAAUAUUCGUUUAACUAAUCCAAGUAAUAUGUAUUAAUUUUAAUAAAUAGUUAUUUUUUUUUUUAAUGUAAUAUUAUUUAUAUAUUUUUCAAUAAACUUUUAUGUAAUUAACAUUUAACAUAAUUUGAUAUCAUAUUAAAGUAAAUCGUACCUACAUAUAGUAUCUUAGAAAUAAACAAAUUAAUGUGAAUAGUAUACUCUUAAAAAUCUUUUACUCGAUAUUGAUAAACAAUUGUUGAAAGAAUUUAAUUAUUUUAUAAAUAAAUAAGUAUAUAAAAUUCAUUUUUUUUCAAAACUUUAAUAUUUUUACGGAGUACCUGUUAUAGUUCAAUUUAUUAUUAUUAAAAUCGUUUACACUAAAGAUUUAAUGGACACGAAUUACCUACAAUUUUAAAUACUAAAAUAUUCAAAACAUAUUCAUAAAUCUCCUAGUCGUGGCUAAUAACUUCAUAUCAUACAAAAAUUUACAUUAAUUUUUAUUACACAUGUUCGUCGAUCGUCAUCACAAGUCGUUUUUAUAUUAUAACCAUUGAAAAUUAUAUUCAUAAUACAUUAUAAUGUAUUUGUGUUCAUAUUUUCAUAAGUCGCAAUAAUUGAGGUAGAUAAUGGAUAUAAUAAAGCUAACCAUCUAUCGGUAUAUUAUUGAGGGUUCGCCAAUAAUUUUUUCGACACAGGUAUCUUGUUAUUGUCCGCAGUUAAUAUUAAAUUUCUAUAAUGUUUAUUUCAAUGUCACUCAGCGACUUUAUUACUCUAUAGUUGGCUAUAAUGUGUAUAAUAUUAUCUUUAAAGUAUAAUUACGGUGCUGUGUAAUGUCCACGAGAGCACGUGUUUAAGUAAUAAAUUACUUCGUCACUGCAGUAUAACUACGAUAACAUUUUCUAAAAUCGUCACGAUUUAUCCCAAAAAUUAUUUUGAAACUCAUCAAAUUACUUCGUUUUUGCGACCAUGCUUACUUUCUACUAGAAAAAUAAAAAAUAUUUAUCAUUAAUUUUCUUAAUAAUUAGAUAAAACUAGCAAAAAUAACUUAAAAACUGAAAUAUUUUCUCAAAAUCGUGGUUUUUCACAACAUAGUACAUACCUACAUAUAUAUUGUUUUAGAUUCUUAGUGAAUCCACUCGAGUAAUACAUGUAUUAAUUUUACAAUAACAUGUGUUUUAUUUUCUGUCUGUCGUCAACUUCUGAAUCAAUUACAAUAGUAAAUAGCUACUUUGAUAUUCAUGUAUUAAGAUUGUUUCUGGUAGAAAAUUAGAUAUAGUUGAUCCUUUGGGGAGGAGGAAGAUAGUUAUAACUUAUAAGUUAAAUAUAAAACUAGUAUUCAACAAAAUCAAAUUUGUUUUUUUAAAACUUAAUAACCACAGGUAGUUAUUAAACAUUUUUACCAAGUAUUUAAAUUUGCAUUUUCUAUGUAACAUAAAGUUUUCAAAAUACAUUGAAUCUUUUCAAGCUAUUAUUUAUAAACAUUUGAAAAUUUCAAGUUCUUAUUUUUAUUUUUAAUUUUUUAAUAAUUAAUAUCAAUGAAAAUUUUCAAUGAUUUAUCAUUGAAUUCAAAUUUUAAAUUUAACCCAACCAUUAGUCAUUACAAUUUAAGUCCACUCGACAGAUACUGUAUAUAAUUUUGAAAGCUUAAUAUUCUCGUUUCCUUUUCGGUAUUCAGUCUUCUUCUAUAUUUAACAUAUAAAUAGACCUAAUUCACGGUUAUCGCCACACACACGAGCGCACACAACAUGUAUUGGUGAGCGGACUUAGUGGUCUCAAAAAAAAAAGAUAACAAUAACUAUAUCACAUAACAAUUUCAUUUUUAAUUUAUAACCGACGACGCCCCAGGGAGAUGCGAUAUACAGAUUGAAAACCACUGUUAUAUGCGAUAUUUCUAUGAAACUUUUAAUCCAUUUUUUUUUUAAAUUUCUAAAACUGUAAGAGCUCUGACUACAUGGUUACAUAGUUUAUACCUACCUAUUUGCUUUAUUUUUUUUUAUAUAUAUUAGUUUUAUUACACGUUAUUCUUAAAACAAAAUUAUAAUAAUUUUUUUCUAGUCAAACUCCGACAACGGUCAUUUGCUAUACCAGUCUAGUAUUUUAUGUUCGUAACUGUAAACUGUAAAUUAUGGUACUGUAGAAGUCGUAAUGACUUCGACGCUAAGAUUAUUGAUAAUUUCUUUUUACCGAAAAUGUGUUGGUUAGUCCGUGUUUUCGAAAUUAUUAUUAGUUCUUCCGCACUGUUCGUACUUAUUUCAGUAUCGCGCUAAUAUCGACAGUUGGUGGAUUGGGAAACGUGUAUGCCAAGACUUGACAUUGGCUAGAAUUCAAAAGUCACAGAAACUAUUGAGUCCGUUUUUUUGAGAUUAUUGGUUCUUCCGCACAGUUCGUACUUAUUUCAGUAUCGCACUAAUAUAAAUUGACAGGUGAUAGAUUUGAAAACGUGUAUGCCAAGACUUGACAUCACUAAGAUUCAAAAGUCACUGUAACUACAGUCUACAGUCCGUGUUUUCGAAAUUAUUGGUUCUUCCGCACAGUUCGUACUUAUUUCAGUAUCGCACUAAUAUUGACGGGUGAUUAAGCAACUUCUAGUACAUUGCUAGAAUUCAAAAAUCACAAAAAACUAAAGUCAGUGUUAUCGAGAUUAUUAGUUCUUCCACACUGUUCGUACUUAUUUCAGUAUUACGCCAAUGACAACAAACUUAGGAGUUAAAUAAACCGCUCUUUUUAUAUAGUUAUAACUUAUAACUCAAAAACAAAUCAUUGUAAUUACUUGAAAUUUUCACCAAAUGUUUAUAUAAGUGUUAUUUAUAUACAAAAUAUUAAAUAUAUAUUUAAUAUAUUAUAUUAAAUAUUCAAAAUAUUUUAGUGUUUUUUUUGCGUUAUUUAAAGAAAAUUAGAAUUUUCGAUUUGUCUAAGUUUUUGUUUUUAAAUGUCGAUAAACAAACUUAGGAUGCCAAAAAAACUUGAAAAUUUAAUACAACGUUUCUUAUACAUUAUUCUUAUUGUAGUUCAAAAAAAUCAAAAAUUGUUAGUCACAAUUUUUUUAUAAGCAUUUAAAGUUUAAAUUUUUAUGAAAUAUGUCAAAAUUGAGAAAAUUUACAUGUAAUUUUAUACUUGAAAAUUUAUCAAAUUGUUUGUAUUUAUAUCUAAGGUUAAAAAAUUAAACACCAAAUUGUCCAUAAGUUUUCCUUCAAAUAGGUAGUUAAGAAAACUCGAAGCGUCAUUAUAGGAAAAAUGUUAUGCAUUUUUAAUAGCGUUUAAAUUUUAAGUUUUUACGAAAUCGCGUAACGAUAAAACGGUAACGAUUUAUCAUCAAAUGAUUUUCAAUAUUUUUAUUAUUCAAAAAGCAUAAAUCAUAGAUGCUUGAAAAUUUCACCAGUUCUUUAGAAUAGCAUUUUCUUUACAUAAUUUAAUUUUCAAAAUAGUUCCCUUAAUUUUAGGCUAUUUAUAGGCAUUUGAAAUAUUCAUUUUUUUUUAGUUUUUUAUUUAUAUAUAUAACAAUAAAAAAAUGUUGGCUUAGUCAAAAUACUUGAAAAUUGAUUAGAAAGUUCCUCAUAAGUUGGUCUUAUAGUGAUUUAAAAAAUUAUAAGGAAUACUUAGGCACAAUUUUUUUUAUUAGCGUUUGAAGUUCAAAUAUUGUGAAAUAUUUGUAAAAACCAUGAAUAUUUGCAAAUAAUUUUGUAGUUAAAAUGUAUAAAUAAUUUUGUAUAAGUAGCUAAGAGUUGAAAAUUUAAUUUAAGAUUUUCCAUAAGUUUGGCUUACAAUAAUUAUAAGAGAAUUUUAAAAAAUGUAUCUUAAGUUUAAAUUUAUACGAAAUCUAAAAUUCACGCGUAAAAUAUCGGUUUACUAUCAAAUAAUUUCAGAUUUUUGUUAGGUAUAGUUAAAAAUUAUUAGUCGGAGAGACUUGAAACAAGUUGUGAACCAGUUGUUUAAAUUGCCAUUUUCUGUACAUAAUUUAAUUAUUCAGGUAUAAGGUCAUUAAAACAUAAACCAUCUUUUAGUAUUUUAUCAUUUAAUUUUUAAAUACCUACCUAAUUUUUAUAUGGAUAGAUACAUUUUAUAUCUAAUAGGUAUCUACGCAUAACUUGCAAUUGGACAUUCUAUAAUAGGGUAUUGAAUAAUGAUUGUUUUCUAUAAAUUUAUAAGUAACUCGAGUCUAUCGUCGUAUGUAAAAUGCAAAUAGGUAAAUUAUUUUUAUUAUAGGUACUUUAGCUAGCUUCCACGCUAAAAUACUAUUUUGAAAUUGAAGAACAUUGUUUUGUUUUAACAAUUUUAAGACUAUAAAUUUAUAAGUAACUCGACCGAGAUCACACUGUGUCCACAUCGAAUCUACAAAACCAUUAAUAUAAUUCAAACCCAUAUUUUUACUACGUGUUAUCACUACUGACUAACAGGUACACGUAGUUGAAGUAUCGAAAAAAUGUUUAAAUAGAAAACUUUCUUAUAUACUUGCUCUAAAACUAAAAAUCCUAUUAUUAUUUUAGAUUCUGGAUGAAGUGAUGAAUGUAUUGAUUUUACAAUGAUGUGUGUUUUUUUGGUUUUUGUGUCUGUGUGCAUUACUUGUCGAAAUAAUGUUUAUCCAUUUAAAAAACUUCAGAGGUAUAGUUUCCAAAUGCAAAUUUAAUAUCCUUAGUGCAUUAAAGAUGUCAAAAGUAAGCAGUUUCCAGUAGUUUUAAAAAUAAUCAAGAAAAGCCACAAAAUAGUGACGGAAAAACUGGACAUUUUACACAAAACCAGUUUUCGACAAAAUUGAUUUUUUUCUAUAUAAUUAUAUCUAAAAACGAAUCACUGUAAAUACUUGAAAUUUUUACCAUAUGUUUGUUUUAGUGUUAUCUAUACACGGUUAAGUUUUCAAAAUAUUCUAGCUUUUUUGGCUAUAUCUAGACAGCUGAAAUUUGAAAUAUGUCAAAAUCGUGAAAAUUUGCAAGUAAUUUUGUAGUUGAAAAUUCAUUAAAAAUGUUAUAUUUAAAUCUAAGGUUAAAAAAUUCAACAUUAUAGGUAAAUAUUAUAUGAGAGUCUGAAUUAUAAAAUUUUAUAAAAUUGCGUAUAACGAUUUCAAUAAUUCCUCAAACGGUUUUAAAUAUUUGUUAUUAUUCAAAAAAUAUAAAUCAUAGAUAAAUGUAAAAUACAUUUACAAUUUUUUAUGUUAUAGGUAUAGAUACCUUAACUAGCUUCCGUGCUUAAAUACUGUUUUAAAAUUGUAAAAUAUUGUUUUGUCUUAACAGUUUUAAAACUAUAAAUUUAUAAGUAACUCGACCGAGAUCACAUUGUGUCAACAGCGAAUCUAUAAUAAAUCCAUCAAUGUAUUUCCUUUCUACAUUUUUACAGCGUAAUAUUUCUAAUUCAUUAUUCAACACUAAGUUUUCCUUCAAUAGCUUUAGAGAAAACUCGAAGAGUCAUUAUGGGAAAAAUGGUAUGUGUUUGUUAAUAGGGUUUGAUCGUUAUGUUUUUACGAAAUCGAGUAACGAUAACGAUUUAUCCUCAAACGAUUAUAAAUAUUUUUUGUUUUUAUUCAAAAAGUGUAAGUCGUAGAUACAUGAAAAUUUCACCAGUUUUUUAGGUUGACAUUUUCUUUAUAUAAUUUAAUUUUCAAAAUAUUUCGCUUAUUUUAAUGCUAUUUAUAGGCAUUUUAAAUAUUCUUUUUGUUUACUUUUUUAAAAUACUCAAAAAUUGAAUACAAAGUUCCUCGUACGUUAAUAUUAUUGUGAUUUAAAAGUUAUGAGAAUACAUAGAAACUUUUUUUAUUAGCUUUUGAAGUUCAAAUAUUGACAAAAAUUCAUCAAAAUCAUGAAUAUUUUCAAAUUAUUUUAUACCUAUAUAUAAUUCAUAAACAUUUUCAAUAAGUAGCUAAGAGUUGAAAAUUCAAUAUAAGAUUUUCCAUAGUUUGGUUUACAAUAAUUAAAAAAGAAGUUAAACAGUGACCAAUUAAAAAUUUUUAUCUUUAAUUUAAAUUUUUACGAAGUCCAAAAUUCAUUUGCAAAAUAACGAUUUACUAUCAAAUAAUUUUAGAUAUUUGUUAAUUAUUAUACUUAAAAAUUAUUAGUCGUAGAAACUUGAAAUAUACUCCAGUUGUUUAAAUUGACAUUUUCUAUACCUACGUCCUACAUGAUUUAAUUUUUAGGUAUUCGGGUCAUUAAAACAUAAACCACCUUUUUCGCCACCAAGUUAAGGUGGAAAAUACACCUACAAUUCAUCUUUAUUCAGAAUCGUUUUUCGUAUAAUAUAAUGAUACUUAUCAUUGAAUUCAAAUUUAACGCUCCUAAUAAUUAUAUAAUAGUGAUCCACACGACAUCUAAUGUACAGCUUUUUAAAAACACAACUUUAAAUUAAUUUUAUAUUUUAUUUAUCGAUAGAACUUUUAGAAGUACAUACGUACCUGAUUUAUUUUGCCAGUUAAAUAAUACUUGAUUCAAAUAUGUAAUAUCUUUGUAUUUGAAAAAAAUUCGAAUAAUUAAAAAAAAAAAACCUCGAAAUAUAUAACUAUACCCAAAAAGAUAACAUUUAAAAUUAUUUAGUAAUUUUUUUUUAUUUGAAGUCCUACUCCAAAAGAUAUAAUAUGUAAUUAUAUAUAAUAUAUACUUAUUGGAAUUUAUUUCUAGUAGGUAGGCGUUAAAUCGGUCAUAUAACAUAGAUACAGAGAAACUUCAUACUAUAUCGUAGUGUACAACUAUUAUUUAAAUUAAAGCUGAAAUUAGGUAAAUCAAACAUAACCCAAAUAAUUGUAACUAACUCCUUAUUCAAAAUUGUUGAAUUCGCGGCUGAUAUUUUGAAAUUUUGUUAGUCACUUGUCCAUGUUAAAAGGUACUUAUUAGUAGGUACAAAUUAUUAUAAAUUUUUAUUUAAAAAAAUUAUCAUAAAACUAUGUCUUAGAAUCUUUUUUUGUUAAUCAAACAUUUAUCAAGUUAUACAACCAAUCUAUAUAAUAAGCUAAUAUAUAAAUUAUAAGAAAUAAUUUUAUAUUGUUUCUUAAAAGUAAUUGCAAAAGUCAUAAAUUCUUUAUAGCAUUUUAUUAAAUGCAAAAUACAGACUAAACUUCAGUACAAAUUCAACCAUUUUACUUUGAAAAAUUUUUGUAAAUUGGUAACGUAUUUUUUACUCACUAAUGUGGUAAUAGGUAAUAAUCUCAUUAUUUGUAGAAUAAUAUAAAUACAUUUUUAUUAUUAUAAAGUAACAAAUCAAUUUAUCAAUCUAUACUUAUUUAUAAACUAUUUGAAAUAGCUCUAAAAUUAUAGUUAGGUGCCUUGUACGUGGUUAUAUUUAUCAAUUUUGUUUAAAGUUUUUACACAUUUUUUAAAUUAUUUUAAGCAAUUUAUUUUGGUUUAUUGCCUUGAAAUUUAUUUUACCAAUACCUAUAUAAAGUAAAAUCAUGUUCUUCAUUUUAAAGACAAAAUGAUGAUUCAGUGAUACCUACUAUAGUUAUACAUUUUAUAAAUUUUAACUUAUUAUAAAUUGUUUAUGUUUGUAUGAAUUAUAUAUUUUUUAAAUGUAAAUCAAUGAAAAUGAAUCGUUUUGAAUUAUAAUUGUAUAUUAUUUAAGUUUUGAUUAUUAAUUAAUAUAUGUACCAAUUUAGUUUUAAGUGUUAUGGGUGCCUAUAAACAUAGUGAAUACUAGAAUUUUGUUUUCAUGUGAAAACAUAUUUUGAAAAAAAAGUAUUAAAAUUUAAGCAUUAUAACUGAAUUUAAUACUGUUGAAUAUUAUGCAAUGUUUGGUAGGUAUAUAAAUAAAAAGAUGUUUAAAUACCCACAUGUUUACACUUAUAAUACCUAAAUAUAAUAAUGUGUGUGUGUUUUUUUAAAUAAAAUAAUGUGUCCCACUACAAGUUUUGUGUGGGACAAUAGAAUAUAUGUAUUGUAUCUAUACCAAAAGUGUAUAGUGUAAUAUAAUUUUUAAAUGUAUAUAAUAAAGGAAGUAUAAGUUUGGACAGUUAGAUAAAUUUAAAUGGAAAUAUGUACCUAUACUUAUUUGAUAGCAUUAUUAUAAUGGUUAGUUUGAUGAAAAAUAUCAAACUGUUAAAAAGUGUAAGAAAACAUUAAUUGUAAAAAAAAAGUGAAUGUUAGAUUUUGUUUUGAAUUCAAAUCUUAACAAAUUAUCUAACAACUAUCCUCAAUUUAAAUUGGAUAGUAUCUACUACCUAUACCACAACAAUAAGGUUUAGAUUGAUUUUGUUCAAUUUUAUUCUAUAAAAUAAAUGUAGAUUCCAACAUUGAUUUAUCUAUAGUGUUGGACAUUAAGAAUUCAUAUCAACUAAUUAAACAAGAUACAUUAAUUCAAUACCUGCCUAAGUAUGCAUGUAUGUAUUUAUGUAUAUAAAUAUAAACAUUGUACAUGUCCAAUACUUAUAACUUAAAAGUAUUAUAAUAUAUUAUUAAAAAAAUAUCAAUAUAUUAUAUGCAAUGAAGGAAACACUACUCUAGGUACUUAAUACUUAGUCACUUAUACAGGAAAACGUAAAAAAAAAAUAGUUAAGUAUAACAAACAAUAUACCUACCGAAUUAUUGCUAAUACAACUUUAAUGUAUUUCAAAUGCAUAAUUUGAGGCAUUUCUUCAAUAAAAAAUAAACUUUUAUACAUUAUACAUUACAGUAAAACCACUCUAUAACGGACCCUCUAUUAGAUGGAAUCCUCCUUAUAACAAAAAAUUUAAAUAGUCCCAGUACCAAAAAUAUAAUAUAAUUCUACUUCCCUAUAAUGGAAAAAAAAUUAUUGGCCCCAAGCGAUUCCAUUAUAAAGAGCUUUUACUGUAUAUCCGUAUUAUAGGCACCUUAUAAUAUUAUUGUAACGAUUAUAAUUAAUUAUUUAAAACAUAUAAACAUAUGUCUAUCAUACAAAAUUAUUGUUUUCAAACUUGCAUGUACUAUUAUUAUGUAUAAAUUUCCAAUUAAGUUAAGUUGUUUUUUAAUAAAUAUAAUAGAUUAUGUAAGUUAAAAAUUGCAAAUUUUUGUAUUUUAAUAAAGAAAAAAUAUUGUUA